rnacentral:rRNA from 1 species
GACGAACGCUGGCGGCGUGCUUAACACAUGCAAGUCGAACGAAGAGCGAUGGAAGCUUGCUUCUAUCAAUCUUAGUGGCGAACGGGUGAGUAACGCGUAAUCAACCUGCCCUUCAGAGGGGGACAACAGUUGGAAACGACUGCUAAUACCGCAUACGAUCUAACCUCGGCAUCGAGGAUGGAUGAAAGGUGGCCUCUAUUUAUAAGCUAUCACUGAAGGAGGGGAUUGCGUCUGAUUAGCUAGGUGGAGGGGUAACUGCCCACCAAGGCGAUGAUCAGUAGCCGGUCUGAGAGGAUGAACGGCCACAUUGGGACUGAGACACGGCCCAGACUCCUACGGGAGGCAGCAGUGGGGAAUCUUCCGCAAUGGACGAAAGUCUGACGGAGCAACGCCGCGUGAGUGAUGACGGCCUUCGGGUUGUAAAGCUCUGUUAAUCGGGACGAAAGGCCUUCUUGCGAAUAGUUAGAAGGAUUGACGGUACCGGAAUAGAAAGCCACGGCUAACUACGUG